rnacentral:rRNA from 1 species
CAGGUGCUGCAUGGCUGUCGUCAGCUCGUGUUGUGAAAUGUCGGGUUAAGUCCCGCAACGAGCGCAACCCUUAUCCUUUGUUGCCAGCGGUCCGGCCGGGAACUCAAAGGAGACUGCCAGUGAUAAACUGGAGGAAGGUGGGAUGACGUCAAGUCAUCAUGGCCCUUACGACCCAGGGCUACACACGUGCUACAAUGGCGCAGUACAAAGAGAAGCGACCUCGCGAGAGCAAGCGGACCUCAUAAAGUGCGUCGUAGUCCGGAUUGGAGUCUGCAACUCGACUCCAUGAAGUCGGAAUCGCUAGUAAUCGUGGAUCAGAAAUGCCACGGUGAAUACGUUCCCGGGCCUU